UCUUUGUUAUACCUUGAAAGCUACCAUAUGUCAUCGAUAUGCUCCUUAUGCCAAUGAUAUGCUCCAAUUACCUUUCCUCGAUUGUAUGAAUAAAACGUGCUUCGAACGAUAUGAUAUUGUAAUUCUGCAUUCAAACAAAACAUGCUACUGUUUCAUCCUGUAUCUCUGCUUUGUAUUUUGAUACCUCAUUCGUUUGAAAACUGUCCUCUUUGCUAUGGAUAUGUUAGUCAUUUGCUGAGCUUUAUAUGCUCACCCCGUUGCUAUAUAAAUUUUUCAGGAUAGCUUAUCGCUCACUAAAAUGUGUAAAUUGGGUUGAGGCAGUGGAAGACUAGAUGAUUUUG
rnacentral:lncRNA from 1 species